rnacentral:tRNA from 1 species
ACCUGGGAGGCUCAGUCGGUUGAGCAUCUGACUUCAGCUCAGGUCAUGAUCUCAUGGUUUGUAGGUUCGAGCCCUGUGUCAGGCU